GCGACUCCUGCGCAAGCGCAGAGUGAAGGGCCGGGAACAGUGGAGGGUGCGAGGAAGACAAUGGGGGAGGACCCUGAGGCGGCCUCUGUGAGCCGACAGGAACACGUGGUCGAUCAGAGAGAGACUCGAGGUUCGUGAACGGAUGGGGAGGACCCUGAAAAGCACUGUGGAAUACAGGUUUCUAGUAACUUCAAAAUCACAUCAUUUGGACUGGCUUCUUUGGGAUGUCCGCUCUGCAUAUCUACUAAGGAAUUAAGAAAUAAUGGCUUCAGCAAGAAACAAGGCAGGAAAGUGCAGUGACAUGAGGACCAUACAGGGAAGGAGCUGUCCCCAAAGGUGAGAAUGGCCCUGGACAAGGGUUCUUGCUGUGACUUCACUCAGACCAGACCACCUUGACCUUUUCAUCACCGUGCCUCAGCGAAGUCAGUCGUUGAUUCUCUGAUCGGUUACUGAGAUCAUCAUGAAAUCUCCCUCGUACGAGAGUUGCAGAACUCUGCAGUGUCAAUCAUAGUGUUUGGGAGAGAGGACUUUCUACCUCCAUCCUUUUUCUGAACCUAAAUGGAAUGAAAAUUAGAACUGUUGCUUAUUCUUUGAGGUAAUUUCAAAUUCCCUUAUCCAAACCAGUGUUACAAAAGGACUCCAGUUUGCCCCCCAAAUCGGUCUAUUAAGAAUGUAAUGAUGAAUUUUCAUCCAAAUCCCACAAUAUGAGCUUUUCUAAAAUAACUCUAGAAACAAAUAUGACAAUAUUCCAAAAUUCCUGCCCUCAGACCUUAUUUUGUAUUAGAGUUAUCUGUGUAUCCAUUUUGUAUCCC
rnacentral:lncRNA from 1 species